rnacentral:rRNA from 1 species
UGAGUAAAGUGGCGCACGGGUGAGUAACGCGUGGAUAAUCUGCCCUUAUGAUCGGGAUAACAGUUGGAAACGGCUGCUAAUACCGGAUACGCUCAAAAUGAACUUUUUGAGGAAAGAUGGCCUCUGCUUGCAUGCUAUCACGUAAGGAUGAGUCCGCGUCCCAUUAGCUUGUUGGCGGGGUAACGGCCCACCAAGGCAUCGAUGGGUAGCCGAUUUGAGAGGAUGAUCGGCCACACUGGAACUGAAACACGGUCCAGACUCCUACGGGAGGCAGCAGUGGGGAAUAUUGCGCAAUGGGCGAAAGCCUGACGCAGCGACGCCGCGUGAGGGAUGAAGGUUUUCGGAUCGUAAACCUCUGUCAGAAGGGAAGAAACUACGUUGUGCUAAUCAGCAGCGUACUGACGGUACCUUCAAAGGAAGCACCGGCUAACUCCGUGCCAGCAGCCGCGGUAAUACGGAGGGUGCAAGCGUUAAUCGGAAUUACUGGGCGUAAAGCGCACGUAGGCUGUAGUGUAAGUCAGGGGUGAAAUCCCACGGCUCAACCGUGGAACUGCCUUUGAUACUGCACAACUUGAAUCCGGGAGAGGGUGGCGGAAUUCCAGGUGUAGGAGUGAAAUCCGUAGAUAUCUGGAGGAACAUCAGUGGCGAAGGCGGCCACCUGGACCGGUAUUGACGCUGAGGUGCGAAAGC